UCUAACCAGGUGCGUUCGCGGCCCUCGAGGGUUCUCUCUCGGGUGGUAGGGGUAACACCCUCACGCGUCGCAUUUCUGAAUCCUUUUUUUACGAGCACCUUUCGUUCUCCUUCGGUGGGGUAACCUGCCGCUGGAACUUAAUAAAACCUUUUUUUGCAUCUAGCAUUACCUGUUCUGAUACAAACAAUCGUUACAACUUUCAACAAUGGAUCUCUUGGCUCUGGCAUCGAUGAAGAACGCAGCGAAAUGCGAUAAGUAGUGUGAAUUGCAGAAUUCAGUGAAUCAUCGAAUCUUUGAACGCACAUUGCGCCCCUUGGUAUUCCAUGGGGCAUGCCUGUUCGAGCGUCAUCUACACCCUCAAGCUCUGCUUGGUGUUGGGCGUCUGUCCCGCCUCUGUGCGUGGACUCGCCCCAAAUGCAUUGGCAGCGGUCCUUGCCUCCUCUCGCGCAGCACAAUUGCGUUUCUUGAGGUGUGCGGCUCGCAUCCACAAAGCAACCAUCGUCUUUGACCUCGGAUCAGGUAGGGAUACCCGCUGAACUUAAGCAUAUCAAUAAGCGGAGGAAAAGAAACCAACAGGGAUUGCCCUAGUAACGGCGAGUGAAGCGGCAACAGCUCAAAUUUGAAAUCUGGCUCUCUUUGGGGGUCCGAGUUGUAAUUUGCAGAGGAUGCUUUGGUAUUGUCGGCGGUCUAAGUUCCUUGGAACAGGACAUCACAGAGGGUGAGAAUCCCGUACGUGGUCGCCUGCCUUUACCGUGUAAAGCUCCUUCGACGAGUCGAGUUGUUUGGGAAUGCAGCUCUAAAUGGGAGGUAAAUUUCUUCUAAAGCUAAAUACCGGCCAGAGACCGAUAGCGCACAAGUAGAGUGAUCGAAAGAUGAAAAGUACUUUGGAAAGAGAGUCAAAAAGCACGUGAAAUUGUUGAAAGGGAAGCGCUUGCAGCCAGACUUGCCCGCAGUUGCUCACCUAGGCUUUUGCCUGGGGCAUUCUUCUGCGGGCAGGCCAGCAUCAGUUUGGGCGGUUGGAUAAAGGCCUCUGUCACGUAUCUCCCUUCGGGGUGACCUUAUAGGGGAGGCGUAAUGCAACCAGCCCGGACUGAGGUCCGC
rnacentral:rRNA from 1 species